rnacentral:lncRNA from 1 species
AGACACACGAGGCCGGGCAGGCAUGACUCAGCAGCCCUUAGGAUCUGCGUCCUGUGAUUUUCUCAAGGAGCACAAAGUGGGAAUCUAUUCUCAUCUCCAUCAGUUGGCCCUGCUUCAUAACGCACGUUUCCUGACAGCAGUUAGAGGAGAGACUGAGUAAGGCUGUGGUGGCAUCUCCCAGCUCCUUUGGGCUGGAUGGGGAAGGACCUAAGCCAUCAGUGUCCUGGAGAUCCAGCGUCUUAAUUCAUUCAGGGUAGCCCGUCCCGCCCUCCAGACUGCUGGGCACACCAGGGGCUCUGCUCCUGCUCUGUCCCAGGACUCAGGGCCCCUCCAGGGCAGCUGCCGUGACGUCGUGGCUAUGAGGCAUUCAGCCGCCUCCCAGAAUGCGCCAUGCUCUUGCCCAACCUGGACUCCCCACUCUCUGCUGCUGGCGCCAGGACGGUCUCACCCACCUCAGCCUCUAGCUCCUCCUCCUCAAGCCUCAGGUCUGAACUUGGCCAUGGCCUCUGCCCAGAAGCCUUCUGCACCUCUGUCAGAUCCCCGUUUACCCCCAGCAGGACCCUCCCUUAGGGCACUUGGUACAAUUUCACAUCCGUGACAGUGACAGUCACCGCCCCCAUGCUGUGAGCCCCACGGGAGUCCGAGCUGACUUCAUUCUUCCCCUACUACGUGCCUCAUCCACUUUGAGCUCCUGUAUUAGUCCAUUCUCAUGCUGCUAAUAAAGACAUAUCCAUGACUGGAUAAUUUAUAAAGGAAA